rnacentral:tRNA from 1 species
GGGGUGAAGUGUCUAAGAAGAGGCUUCUAACUUCUCCCUUAAGCGGUUAAAUUCCGUUUUCACCCCU